AUUGAACGCUGGCGGCAUGCCUUACACAUGCAAGUCGAACGGCAGCACGGGAGCAAUCCUGGUGGCGAGUGGCGAACGGGUGAGUAAUAUAUCGGAACGUGCCCAGUCGUGGGGAUAACGUAGCGAAAGCUACGCUAAUACCGCAUACGAUCUAUGGAUGAAAGCGGGGGAUCGCAAGACCUCGCGCGAUUGGAGCGGCCGAUAUCAGAUUAGGUAGUUGGUGAGGUAAAGGCUCACCAAGCCGACGAUCUGUAGCUGGUCUGAGAGGACGACCAGCCACACUGGGACUGAGACACGGCCCAGACUCCUACGGGAGGCAGCAGUGGGGAAUUUUGGACAAUGGGCGAAAGCCUGAUCCAGCCAUGCCGCGUGUGUGAAGAAAGGUCUUCGGAUUGUAAACUGCUUUUGUACGGAACGAAACGGUGAGCUCUAAUACAGUUUGCUAAUGACGGUACCGUAAGAAUAAGCACCGGCUAACUACGUG
rnacentral:rRNA from 1 species